UACGGAGGGUGCGAGCGUUGUCCGGAAUCAUUGGGCGUAAAGGGCGCGUAGGUGGCACGACAAGCGUGCGGUGAAAGCUUGGGGCUCAACCCCGAGUCGGCCGUGCGAACUGUUGAGCUGGAGCACUGUAGAGGCAGGCGGAAUUCCGAGUGUAGAGGUGAAAUUCGUAGAUAUUCGGAAGAACACCAGUGGCGAAGGCGACUCACUGGACACGUAUUGACGCUGAGGUGCGAAAGCGUGGGGAGCAAACAGG
rnacentral:rRNA from 1 species